GAUGAACGCUGGCGGCGUGCCUAAUACAUGCAAGUCGAGCGAACAGAUAAGGAGCUUGCUCCUUUGACGUUAGCGGCGGACGGGUGAGUAACACGUGGGUAACCUACCUAUAAGACUGGGAUAACUUCGGGAAACCGGAGCUAAUACCGGAUAAUAUUUCGAACCGCAUGGUUCGAUAGUGAAAGAUGGCUUUGCUAUCACUUAUAGAUGGACCCGCGCCGUAUUAGCUAGUUGGUAAGGUAACGGCUUACCAAGGCGACGAUACGUAGCCGACCUGAGAGGGUGAUCGGCCACACUGGAACUGAGACACGGUCCAGACUCCUACGGGAGGCAGCAGUAGGGAAUCUUCCGCAAAGGGCGAAAGCCUGACGGAGCAACGCCGCGUGAGUGAUGAAGGUCUUCGGAUCGUAAAACUCUGUUAUUAGGGAAGAACAUACGUGUAAGUAACUGUGCACGUCUUGACGGUACCUAAUCAGAAAGCCACGGCUAACUACGUG
rnacentral:rRNA from 1 species